rnacentral:rRNA from 1 species
UUUGAUCCUGGCUCAGGAUGAAACGCUGGCGGGCGUGCCUAAUACAUGCAAGUCGAGCGAAUGGAUUAAGAGCUUGCUCUUAUGAAGUUAGCGGCGGACGGGUGAGUAACACGUGGGUAACCUGCCCAUAAGACUGGGAUAACUCCGGGAAACCGGGGCUAAUACCGGAUAACAUUUUGAACCGCAUGGUUCGAAAUUGAAAGGCGGCUUCGGCUGUCACUUAUGGAUGGACCCGCGUCGCAUUAGCUAGUUGGUGAGGUAACGGCUCACCAAGGCAACGAUGCGUAGCCGACCUGAGAGGGGUGAUCGGCCACACUGGGACUGAGACACGGCCCAGACUCCUACGGGAGGCAGCAGUAGGGAAUCUUCCGCAAUGGACGAAAGUCUGACGGAGCAACGCCGCGUGAGUGAUGAAGGCUUUCGGGUCGUAAAACUCUGUUGUUAGGGAAGAAGCAAAAGUGCUAGUUGAAUAAGCUGGCACCCUUGACGGUAC